rnacentral:piRNA from 1 species
AAUGAAUGAAUGGGGGUGUCUAAUGAAAGC